rnacentral:rRNA from 1 species
UACGAAGGGGGCUAGCGUUGCUCGGAAUACUGGGCGUAAAGCGUGCGCAGGCGGUUGUGCAAGACCGAUGUGAAAUCCCCGGGCUUAACCUGGGAAUUGCGAUGGAGACUGCAAGGCUAGAAUCUGGCAGAGGGGGGGUAGAAUUCCACGUGUAGCAGUGAAAUGCGUAGAGAUGUGGAGGAACACCGAUGGCGAAGGCAGCCCCCUGGGUCAAGAUUGACGCUCAUGCACGAAAGCGU